rnacentral:rRNA from 1 species
GCCCAAAGGUAAGCUCAUCAGGUUCAGAAAUCCUGAGUAGAGUGCAAGAGCAAAAGCUUGCCUGACUGUAUUUCGAACAGUAAGAAAUGCAGCACCGAAAGGUUGGUCUAGCGAACCCCUGUGUCCCAAUUGAUGGGGGCCAGGUAUGACAGAAAAGCUAUCCUGGGGAUAACUGAGUCGUCGCGCCUAAGAGCUCAAAUCGACGGCGCGGCUUGCUACUUCGUUGUCGGCUCAUCGCAUCCUGGGUGUGCAGAAGCACCCAAGGGUGGAGGUGUUCACUCAUUAAAGCGGCUCGUGAGCUGGGUUCAGAACGUC